GCCUUCGUGGUGUAGUGGUCAGCACGCUCGACGCGUAACCGAGAGAUCCGUGGUUCGAUUCCCGGCGAAGGCA
rnacentral:tRNA from 1 species